rnacentral:rRNA from 1 species
GUAGGUGACCUGCGGAGGAUCAUUACCGAGUGCGGGCCCUCUGGGUCCAACCUCCCAUCCGUGUCUAUCUGUACCCUGUUGCUUCGGCGUGGCCACGGCCCGCCGAAGACUAACAUUUGAACACUGUCUGAAGUUUGCAGUCUGAGUUUUUAGUUAAACAAUAAUUAAAACUUUCAACAACGGAUCUCUUGGUUCCGGCAUCGAUGAAGAACGCAGCGAAAUGCGAUAAUUAAUGUGAAUUGCAGAAUUCAGUGAAUCAUCGAGUCUUUGAACGCACAUUGCGCCCCCUGGUAUUCCGGGGGGCAUGCCUGUCCGAGCGUCAUUGCUGCCCUCAAGCACGGCUUGUGUGUUGGGCUUCCGUCCCUGGUAACGGGGACGGGCCCAAAAGGCAGUGGCGGCACCAUGUCUGGUCCUCGAGCGUAUGGGGCUUUGUCACCCGCUCCCGUAGGUCCAGCUGGCAGCUAGCCUCGCAACCAAUCUUUUUAACCAGGUUGACCUCGGAUCAGGUAGGGAUACCCGCUGAACUUAAGCAUAUC